UACACUUGGAGUUCGAGGUGUCAAAGGGCCGAGGUCGAGUGACAUACUGUAGCUGUCAGAAGUCGUAAAUUGUGAUUUUUUGAACGUAGCCGUCGGCGUACAUUUAACUGAGCCUAGCUUUCGUUUUUCUUUUUCAGCUCGGGAGGACAUAAUUCGCUAUUAUGGCACUCCUGCGGCUGUGAGUUUGUGGCCGUCUCAGGAUGAGGAGUCCGACUGUAAAAACGAUCGCUUUUGCUCCGCUGACCUCUACGUUUUGCUAACUGCUGUAUCAUUCCAAGUGUUUCUUCUUCCAAGAUGAAUACAAGGCUUCACAUUCAAGCUCGGGAGGACAUAAUUCGCUAUUAUGGCACUCCUGCGGCUGUGAGUUUGUGGCCGUCUCAGGAUGAGGAGUCCGACUGUAAAAACGAUCGCUUUUGCUCCGCUGACCUCUACGUUUUGCUAACUGCUGUAUCAUUCCAAGUGUUUCUUCUUCCAAGAUGAAUACAAGGCUUCACAUUCAAGCUCGGGAGGACAUAAUUCGCUAUUAUGGCACUCCUGCGGCUGUGAGUUUGUGGCCGUCUCAGGAUGAGGAGUCCGACUGUGUAUGUAUAAAUUUACAUGCCCACCCUGUAAAUUCUUCCGUCUAGUAUAGCUGAUUUGUUGCACAUUAAGUCUGCCCAGUCCCUAUAAUAAACUGUGAUUCGUUUUCUUUGCAAAAGUAUCCCGUAUUUCUGUCUGACCUGACUUCCUUUGUCCCUCCCUCCACCCCCCUC